GUCGGACAUGCUACAUCAUACACCGUGCGCUCGUGAUAAAUUUAAGAUACAUCACUGGACAUCAUAUCUUUAGUAUCAAUAACCAUGUCGAAUGAUAACCGAAGUAAUAUAUCGUGGAUUAGCCACAAACUGAGGUGAAGAUCCUGCUUAUCAUCAGUGUUGAAUUAAGCCACUAACAAAUAGUACUGAAGAAGCAGAUGGUCAUAGGCUGAUGUGAUCAUGGGGGAACAGUUAACUCAGAUAAUAAUCUACUGUCACGUAUCUAGAUGGUGAUG
rnacentral:lncRNA from 1 species